rnacentral:tRNA from 1 species
GCGGGUAUAGUUUAGUGGUAAAAUUUUUUUU